rnacentral:rRNA from 1 species
UACGAGGGGGGCGAGCGUUGUUCGGAAUUAUUGGGCGUAAAGGGUGCGUAGGCGGUUUGGUAAGUCUGAUGUGAAAUCUAUGGGCUCAACUCAUAGUCUGCAUCGGAAACUGCCGGCUUGAGUGUGGGAGAGGUGAGUGGAAUUCCUGGUGUAGCGGUGAAAUGCGUAGAUAUCAGGAGGAACACCGGUGGUGUAAACGGCUUUCUGGACCAUAACUGACGCUGGAGGCACGAAAGCGUGGGUAGCAAACAGG